UUAGGGAUUUUGCCGCACCUAAACUAUGGCAAAGGCAGUAAAACUUGAAAGAAGUGAGGUUAGAAGAUUUGGGCCUGGGUUAAGGCUCCCUAUAGAGUAACUUCUUAUUUUCUUUUUCAUUAUGUAAUUUAGCUAUCAUGGUUUGUAAUAACUUGUAAACAACUAAUGGGGUCUAUAGUGAAAUGGGGUUGGAUUAUGCAUGCUUGAUUUAAUUAAUGGGUAGAGAACAUUUCUAUAGGGCUUUACUUACCUAUUUGCACAAUAGAAACUAUGUGUAGG
rnacentral:lncRNA from 1 species